rnacentral:rRNA from 1 species
GCAGUCGACGAUGACCCGGUGCUUGCACCGGUGAUUAGUGGCGAACGGGUGAGUAACACGUGAGUAACCUGCCCUUAACUCUGGGAUAAGCCUGGGAAACUGGGUCUAAUACCGGAUAUGACUCCUCAUCGCAUGGUGGGGGGUGGAAAGCUUUAUUGUGGUUUUGGAUGGACUCGCGGCCUAUCAGCUUGUUGGUGAGGUAAUGGCUCACCAAGGCGACGACGGGUAGCCGGCCUGAGAGGGUGACCGGCCACACUGGGACUGAGACACGGCCCAGACUCCUACGGGAGGCAGCAGUGGGGAAUAUUGCACAAUGGGCGCAAGCCUGAUGCAGCGACGCCGCGUGAGGGAUGACGGCCUUCGGGUUGUAAACCUCUUUCAGUAGGGAAGAAGCGAAAGUGACGGUACCUGCAGAAGAAGCGCCGGCUAACUACGUGCCAGCAGCCGCGGUAAUACGUAGGGCGCAAGCGUUAUCCGGAAUUAUUGGGCGUAAAGAGCUCGUAGGCGGUUUGUCGCGUCUGCCGUGAAAGUCCGGGGCUCAACUCCGGAUCUGCGGUGGGUACGGGCAGACUAGAGUGAUGUAGGGGAGACUGGAAUUCCUGGUGUAGCGGUGAAAUGCGCAGAUAUCAGGAGGAACACCGAUGGCGAAGGCAGGUCUCUGGGCAUUAACUGACGCUGAGGAGCGAAAGCAUGGGGAGCGAACAGGAUUAGAUACCCUGGUAGUCCAUGCCGUAAACGUUGGGCACUAGGUGUGGGGGACAUUCCACGUUUUCCGCGCCGUAGCUAACGCAUUAAGUGCCCCGC